GAUAACUUAACAUGGAUUCACUAAAACUUGAGUUGUUAUUACCUUUCAUCUGAUUUUAAGAACUGGAGUGACAGCAGACGAGACUGUGAAGAGAGAGGAGCAAAUCUGCUGAUUAUAAACAAUAAAGAGGAACAAGAGUUUUUGCUGAAAUCUACAUCUGGUUAUUAUUAUUGGAUUGGUCUGAGUAAAGAGAGAGGGGUGUGGAAAUGGGUUGAUGGCACCACAUUGACACUAAGUCUCUGGAUAAAUGGAUACACCGGAUCUUACAGUAAUAGCUGUGCUGUAAUAUCUACACCUAAAUGGGCUAAUCAUACAUGUCAUAGGACACACAGAUGGAUCUGUGAGAAGAGAAUUUUACAGUGAAAUAAACUCAUGAAGUAUUACACCAGCACCAGUUUUUUAGUAAUUGUGUUUACUAAUUUAAUGUUGUUAUCCAGUAAAUUAUUGUAAAGAAUUAUUCUGUAAAGUCAAAUUUAUAUGUUUAUAUCAGGGGUGUUUCCUCCGAGGAGGCAAGGGAGGCAGUGCCACCUCAAAAAAGUGAAUAAGAAAAUG